rnacentral:tRNA from 1 species
GUUCCAGUGGUGUAGACCGGUCAAGCAUUCUGCCCUUUCAAGGCAGAGAUCCCGGGUUCAAAUCCCGGCUGGAGCACCA